AUUCUAUGAUGAGGAAAUCUCCUCAGUAGCUCCUUGAAUAUUUUCCAUGCAUCAUACAAGUUUUCAUCUUCAAGUUGAUGAAAGAUGUGAUCUCAUUCCUCAAUUU
rfam:Citrus sinensis cultivar Ridge Pineapple sweet orange scaffold01260_contig_3, whole genome shotgun sequence.